rnacentral:rRNA from 1 species
AUUAAACGCUGGCGGCAUGCCUUACACAUGCAAGUCGAACGGCAGCACGGGGGCAACCCUGGUGGCGAGUGGCGGACGGGUGAGUAAAGCAUCGGAACGUAUCCUGGAGUGGGGGGAUAACGUAGCGAAAGUUACGCUAAUACCGCAUAUUCUGUGAGCAGGAAAGCAGGGGAUCGCAAGACCUUGCGCUCUGGGAGCGGCCGAUGUCGGAUUAGCUAGUUGGUGGGGUAAAGCCUACCAAGGCGACGAUCCGUAGCGGGUCUGAGAGGAUGAUCCGCCACACUGGGACUGAGACACGGCCCAGACUCCUACGGGAGGCAGCAGUGGGGAAUUCUGGACAAUGGGCGGAAGCCUGAUCCAGCCAUGCCGCGUGAGUGAAGAAGG